AAAGAGUAAGAAAUUUUGGUAAGUUUACCUUUUGUAUCAGGGGAAGUCAAAAGUAAAAUUAGUAAAAUAUCGAUUUAAGUAGAGCUUUGGGUAAAGAAAUUAUAAUUGAAUUUAUAGUUUUAAUGGAGUCAUGUGGUGAAAAAUGUACGGUGCUUAUGGUAACUAUUUGUUUUUUUGUUGAAGGGUAAGCUUUCAUUAGUUUAAGCAUAAAAAAAAAAUUAGAGAAUUAGGCUUUGUAUUAGCCAAAUUAUUAAAUUGUUUUAAAUAAUCUAGUAAAACAAAGUAAGUUUAAAAUUAAAAGACUUAGUCUAUUAGUGGUAAUAGGCUUAAAUAAUGAAUUUAUUGAAUAAAGCUCGGAAUACUUAAAUAACUCAUGAUAGGUUAGAAUGUUUAACAAAAACAUUUUCUUUUGAGGUAAAUAAGAUAAGACCUGCCCGGUGAUUUUUAACGGCUGCGGUAUUUUGACUGUGCUAAGGUAGCAUAAUCAUUUGCUAUUUAAUUGGUAGCUGGAAUGAAAGGUUAAACUAACUUGUUUAGUUUGUUGUGUUUGUUAAGAAAUUAAAGUCAAGGUAAGAAUUCUUUGAUCUACUAGGGGACGAUAAGACCCUAGAAGCUUGACGAUAAGAAUAUUUAUUAGUUAUAAAGAUUAAUUUGUUUUACUGGGGCGGUAAAGGUAUAUAAACUACUAGAUUAUUGAUGGAUCCUUAAAAUAAAGAUAAACCGGAAAAGUUACUCUAGGGAUAACAGUGCAAUAUUUUUGGAGAGAUCUUAUCGAUAAAAAUGUUUGCAACCUCGAUGUUGAAUUAAAAUGUCUACGUGAAGCAGCAGGUACGUAAGAAGGUUUGUUCAACCUUGAAUU
rnacentral:rRNA from 1 species